CUUGUCUCUUAAUAUGGAUGUGUCAACGACGAUGUUCCUAACCCCUGGACCAGUGAUUGAUUUUCUGAAAGCUAACCAGAAUGUACAGGAUCCAUGCUAUAUUGACUGGGUGAAGGCCAAAAUUAUGUUGAAAAAUUUGAGGAUUAAGCCAAGGCACCGUGACAUGGAAUAUAAAAUUAUUGGCUUGAGCCAAAAGGUCUGCAAAGAGCAAUAGUAAGCGGUUCUUUGCCGUCUGUGCCUUUUCCCUCUUUGAAUUGUCACUCUUCGUUUUGUAUCCAUUGUGAACCUCUAACUUUGCUCUUAUUUCCUAGUUUUUCAAUGAAAGUGAGAAGCCAUGAUUGUGCAAAUGUGGAGUCGCAGGUUGUGAAGAUAACAGUGUAUGAGUAUUUUACUAAACACCGCGGCAUAGAACUCACCGACUCUGCGUGUCUGCCUUGCCUUGAUGUUGGCAAUACUAAACAACCUCUCUAUCUGCCAAUAGAGUUAUGCUGAAUUUUCUUACGCAAUAUUCUUAUUUUUAGUUUGUGUUGCUUGAAUCUUGUCUUACUUCCUAUGCUUUUCCCUGUGUUGCAGCUUUGUUCGCUUGUUCCACUCCAGCGCUGUACAAAAGCUCUAUCCCCAACUCUAAGAGCAUCUUUGGUUGCAAAUUCUAGACAAAACCCUCAAAAUAGAAAACGAACUGUGAUUGAUGCUGUGAGAAACUACCGUUGCGAUGAUGAUUCUUUGCUUUCUGCAAGUGGUGUUUCUAUAGAAAGACAAAUGAUGCAAGUUGACGGUCGCGUACUUGGAACUCCAAUGUUGAGGGUAGGAAACAAGGAAGACUUUCUCCCUACGAAUGGUCGGUGGAACUUCAAUUACAAGACUCUUUUCAAAACCACUUGCAUUGAUCGAUGGGUUGUGGUUAACUUUUCUUCUCGCUGUUAUAAUGAUAAAAUCUGCCAUGAUCUCAUUAGCUGUGGAAGGAGAAUGGGCAUACAAAUUAAAAGCCCACGUACCCCAAUUUGGGAGUACCCACAAUCUAGAGGAGACAAACCUCUUGAUAGAGUAGAAAAUAUGUUUGAGAUGCUGAACAGAGCUAAGCUUCUGAAAGAUACCCAGUUUAUUUUGUGCGUCUUGCCAGAGAAGAAAUCUGACAUUUAUGGACCAUGGAAGAAGAAA
rnacentral:misc_RNA from 1 species